GAUGAACGCUAGCGGGAGGCCUAACACAUGCAAGCCGAGCGGUAUUGUUUCUUCGGAAAUGAGAGAGCGGCGUACGGGUGCGGAACACGUGUGCAACCUGCCUUUAUCUGGGGGAUAGCCUUUCGAAAGGAAGAUUAAUACUCCAUAAUAUAUUGAACGGCAUCGUUUAAUAUUGAAAGCUCCGGCGGAUAGAGAUGGGCACGCGCAAGAUUAGCUAGUUGGUGAGGUAACGGCUCACCAAGGCGAUGAUCUUUAGGGGGCCUGAGAGGGUGAUCCCCCACACUGGUACUGAGACACGGACCAGACUCCUACGGGAGGCAGCAGUGAGGAAUAUUGGUCAAUGGGUGCAAGCCUGAACCAGCCAUCCCGCGUGAAGGACGACUGCCCUAUGGGUUGUAAAUUUCUUUUGUAUAGGGAUAAACCUACCCUCGUGAGGGUAGCUGAAGGUACUAUACGAAUAAGCACCGGCUAACUCCGUGCCAGCAGCCGCGGUAAUACGGAGGGUGCAAGCGUUAUCCGGAUUUAUUGGGUUUAAAGGGUCCGUAGGCGGACUUAUAAGUCAGUGGUGAAAGCCUGUCGCUUAACGAUAGAACUGCCAUUGAUACUGUAAGUCUUGAGUAUAUUUGAGGUAGCUGGAAUAAGUAGUGUAGCGGUGAAAUGCAUAGAUAUUACUUAGAACACCAAUUGCGAAGGCAGGUUACCAAGAUAUAACUGACGCUGAGGGACGAAAGCGUGGGGGGCGAACAGGAUUAGAUACCCUGGUAGUCCACGCCGUAAACGAUGCUAACUCGUUUUUGGGCUUUAGGGUUCAGAGACCAAGCGAAAGUGAUAAGUUAGCCACCUGGGGAGUACGCUCGCAAGAGUGAAACUCAAAGGAAUUGACGGGGGCCCGCACAAGCGGUGGAUUAUGUGGUUUAAUUCGAUGAUACGCGAGGAACCUUACCAAGACUUAAAUGGGAAUUGACAGCUUUAGAAAUAGAGCUUUCUUCGGACAAUUUUCAAGGUGCUGCAUGGUUGUCGUCAGCUCGUGCCGUGAGGUGUUAGGUUAAGUCCUGCAACGAGCGCAACCCCUGUCACUAGUUGCCAUCAUUCAGUUGGGGACUCUAGUGAGACUGCCUACGCAAGUAGAGAGGAAGGUGGGGAUGACGUCAAAUCAUCACGGCCCUUACGUCUUGGGCCACACACGUAAUACAAUGGCCGGUACAGAGGGCAGCUACACAGCGAUGUGAUGCAAAUCUCGAAAGCCGGUCUCAGUUCGGAUUGGAGUCUGCAACUCGACUCUAUGAAGCUGGAAUCGCUAGUAAUCGCGCAUCAGCCAUGGCGCGGUGAAUACGUUCCCGGGCCU
rnacentral:rRNA from 1 species